rnacentral:lncRNA from 1 species
UCAGUUACCACUUGUACUUCUCUAGUGUUUAUUUUUUUUCCAAAACACAAAUUUAAUGAUGGAAAAUUAUCCAAUUCAUUUCACUUAAAAGCACUUCAUCCAAAUUAAAAUUGUUAUAUGUUAAAUUAAAUUUUGGGGAAAGGAUUUUUAGAUUUAUCAAAGAGAUACUUGGUGCACUAAAAAGUAGAUUGGAAAAAAUAACCAAGUAUGCAGUGCAAUAAAACUAGAACCAAUAAUAGAACCAAACAACUAUUCAGUAGGAAAUUACAUUUUUUUUCCCCCAAUGACUCUGAGUUUUAAAGAUGACUUUAAAACAUAAAGUUUCAAGGUAGAAAUUAAUUUUUAAAAAUGAGCAAUGCAUUUCA